rnacentral:rRNA from 1 species
CUACGGGUCGCAGCAGUGGGGAAUUUUGGACAAUGGGGGCAACCCUGAUCCAGCCAUUCCGCGUGAGUGAAGAAGGCCUUCGGGUUGUAAAGCUCUUUCGGCAGGAACGAAACGGUGGAGGCCAAUACCUUUCAUCAAUGACGGUACCUGAAGAAGAAGCACCGGCUAACUACGUGCCAGCAGCCGCGGUAAUACGUAGGGUGCGAGCGUUAAUCGGAAUUACUGGGCGUAAAGCGUGCGCAGGCGGUUCUAUAAGACAGAUGUGAAAUCCCCGGGCUUAACCUGGGAACUGCGUUUGUGACUGUAGGACUCGAGUGUGGCAGAGGGGGGUGGAAUUCCACGUGUAGCAGUGAAAUGCGUAGAGAUGUGGAGGAACACCGAUGGCGAAGGCAGCCCCCUGGGUUAACACUGACGCUCAUGCACGAAAGCGUGGGGAGCAAACAGGAUUAGAUACCCGGGUAGUC